UACGAAGGGGGCUAGCGUUGCUCGGAAUCACUGGGCGUAAAGCGCACGUAGGCGGAUAUUUAAGUCAGGGGUGAAAUCCCGGGGCUCAACCUCGGAACUGCCUUUGAUACUGGGUAUCUUGAGUAUGGAAGAGGUAAGUGGAAUUGCGAGUGUAGAGGUGAAAUUCGUAGAUAUUCGCAGGAACACCAGUGGCGAAGGCGGCGAUCUGGACGAUGACUGACGCUGAGACGCGAAAGCGUGGGGAGCAAACAGG
rnacentral:rRNA from 1 species